UACGUAGGGGGCAAGCGUUGUCCGGAUUUAUUGGGCGUAAAGCGCUCGCAGGUGGUCCGUUGCGUCGGGCGUGAAAGACCCCGGCUCAACUGGGGAGGGUCGUGCGAUACGGGCGGACUGGAGGCCAGUAGGGGGAUGCGGAAUUCCGGGUGUAGUGGUGGAAUGCGUAGAGAUCCGGAGGAACACCAGCGGCGAAGGCGGCAUCCUGGACUGGUCCUGACACUCAGGAGCGAAAGCGUGGGGAGCGAUCCGG
rnacentral:rRNA from 1 species